CAGGCAAAUCCGGAAAAUCAAGGCUGAGGCGUGAUGACGAGGCACUACGGUGCUGAAGCAACAAAUGCCCUGCUUCCAGGAAAAGCCUCUAAGCAUCAGGUAACAUCAAAUCGUACCCCAAACCGACACAGGUGGUCAGGUAGAGAAUACCAAGGCGCUUGAGAGAACUCGGGUGAAGGAACUAGGCAAAAUGGUGCCGUAACUUCGGGAGAAGGCACGCUGAUAUGUAGGUGAAGCGACUUGCUCGUGGAGCUGAAAUCAGUCGAAGAUACCAGCUGGCUGCAACUGUUUAUUAAAAACACAGCACUGUGCAAACACGAAAGUGGACGUAUACGGUGUGACGCCUGCCCGGUGCCGGAAGGUUAAUUGAUGGGGUUAGCGGUAACGCGAAGCUCUUGAUCGAAGCCCCGGUAAACGGCGGCCGUAACUAUAACGGUCCUAAGGUAGCGAAAUUCCUUGUCGGGUAAGUUCCGACCUGCACGAAUGGCGUAAUGAUGGCCAGGCUGUCUCCACCCGAGACUCAGUGAAAUUGAACUCGCUGUGAAGAUGCAGUGUACCCGCGGCAAGACGGAAAGACCCCGUGAACCUUUACUAUAGCUUGACACUGAACAUUGAGCCUUGAUGUGUAGGAUAGGUGGGAGGCUUUGAAGUGUGGACGCCAGUCUGCAUGGAGCCGACCUUGAAAUACCACCCUUUAAUGUUUGAUGUUCUAACGUUGGCCCGUUAUCCGGGUUGCGGACAGUGUCUGGUGGGUAGUUUGACUGGGGCGGUCUCCUCCUAAAGAGUAACGGAGGAGCACGAAGGUUGGCUAAUCCUGGUCGGACAUCAGGAGGUUAGUGCAAUGGCAUAAGCCAGCUUGACUGCGAGCGUGACGGCGCGAGCAGGUGCGAAAGCAGGUCAUAGUGAUCCGGUGGUUCUGAAUGGAAGGGCCAUCGCUCAACGGAUAAAAGGUACUCCGGGGAUAACAGGCUGAUACCGCCCAAGAGUUCAUAUCGACGGCGGUGUUUGGCACCUCGAUGUCGGCUCAUCACAUCCUGGGGCUGAAGUAGGUCCCAAGGGUAUGGCUGUUCGCCAUUUAAAGUGGUACGCGAGCUGGGUUUAGAACGUCGUGAGACAGUUCGGUCCCUAUCUGCCGUGGGCGCUGGAGAACUGAGGGGGGCUGCUCCUAGUACGAGAGGACCGGAGUGGACGCAUCACUGGUGUUCGGGUUGUCAUGCCAAUGGCACUGCCCGGUAGCUAAAUGCGGA
rnacentral:rRNA from 1 species